rnacentral:rRNA from 1 species
UCGAGGGGCAGCAUCAUCAAAGCUUGCUUUGAUGGAUGGCGACCGGCGCACGGGUGAGUAACACGUAUCCAACCUGCCGACAACACUGGGAUAGCCUUUCGAAAGAAAGAUUAAUACCGGAUGGCAUAAUUUUCCCGCAUGGGAUGAUUAUUAAAGAAUUUCGGUUGUCGAUGGGGAUGCGUUCCAUUAGGCAGUUGGCGGGGUAACGGCCCACCAAACCUACGAUGGAUAGGGGUUCUGAGAGGAAGGUCCCCCACAUUGGAACUGAGACACGGUCCAAACUCCUACGGGAGGCAGCAGUGAGGAAUAUUGGUCAAUGGACGAGAGUCUGAACCAGCCAAGUAGCGUGAAGGAUGACUGCCCUAUGGGUUGUAAACUUCUUUUAUACGGGAAUAAAGUGAGCCACGUGUGGCUUUUUGUAUGUACCGUAUGAAUAAGGAUCGGCUAACUCCGUGCCAGCAGCCGCGGUAAUACGGAGGAUCCGAGCGUUAUCCGGAUUUAUUGGGUUUAAAGGGAGCGUAGGCGGGUUGUUAAGUCAGUUGUGAAAGUUUGCGGCUCAACCGUAAAAUUGCAGUUGAUACUGGCGACCUUGAGUGCAACAGAGGUAGGCGGAAUUCGUGGUGUAGCGGUGAAAUGCUUAGAUAUCACGAAGAACUCCGAUUGCGAAGGCAGCUUACUGGAUUGUAACUGACGCUGAUGCUCGAAAGUGUGGGUAUCAAACAGGAUUAGAUACCCUGGUAGUCCACACAGUAAACGAUGAAUACUCGCUGUUGGCGAUAUACAGUCAGCGGCCAAGCGAAAGCAUUAAGUAUUCCACCUGGGGAGUACGCCGGCAACGGUGAAACUCAAAGGAAUUGACGGGGGCCCGCACAAGCGGAGGAACAUGUGGUUUAAUUCGAUGAUACGCGAGGAACCUUACCCGGGCUUAAAUUGCAACUGACGGAAUCGGAAACGGUUCUUUCUUCGGACAGUUGUGAAGGUGCUGCAUGG